CCUACGGGAGGCUGCAGUGAGGAAUAUUGGUCAAUGGCCGGAAGGCUGAACCAGCCAAGCCGCGUGAAGGACGAAGGUGCCAAGCAUUGUAAACUUCUUUUGUCAAGGGACAAAAUCAGGCUCGAGAGCCUGACCGAGGGUACUUGAAGAAAAAGAAUCGGCUAACUCAGUGCCAGCAGCCGCGGUAAUACGGAGGAUGCGAGCGUUAUCCGGCUUUAUGGGGUUAAAAGGGUGGUUAGGCGGGCUGUUAAGUCAGCGGUAAAAGCCCGGGGCCCAACCCCGGCGAGCCGUUGAAACUGGCUGUCUUGAGAUGUCGAGAGGUAUGCGGAAUGCGCAGUGUAGCGGUGAAAUGCUUAGAUAUUGCGCAGAACUCCGAUUGCGAAGGCAGCAUACCGGCGGCGAUCUGACGCUGAGGCACGAAAGCGUGGGUAUCGAACAGGAUUAGAUACCCCGGUAGUC
rnacentral:rRNA from 1 species